rnacentral:rRNA from 1 species
UUUAUGGAGAGUUUGAUCCUGGCUCAGAGUGAACGCUGGCGGCGUGCCUAAUACAUGCAAGUCGAACGAUGAAGCUUCUAGCUUGCUAGAAUGCUGAUUAGUGGCGCACGGGUGAGUAACGCAUAGGUCAUGUGCCUCUUAGUUUGGGAUAGCCAUUGGAAACGAUGAUUAAUACCAGAUACUCCCUAUGGGGGAAAGAUUUAUCGCUAAGAGAUCAGCCUAUGUCCUAUCAGCUUGUUGGUAAGGUAAUGGCUUACCAAGGCUAUGACGGGUAUCCGGCCUGAGAGGGUGAACGGACACACUGGAACUGAGACACGGUCCAGACUCCUACGGGAGGCAGCAGUAGGGAAUAUUGCUCAAUGGGGGAAACCCUGAAGCAGCAACGCCGCGUGGAGGAUGAAGGUUUUAGGAUUGUAAACUCCUUUUGUUAGAGAAGAUAAUGACGGUAUCUAACGAAUAAGCACCGGCUAACUCCGUGCCAGCAGCCGCGGUAAUACGGAGGGUGCAAGCGUUACUCGGAAUCACUGGGCGUAAAGAGCACGUAGGCGGGAUAGUCAGUCAGGUGUGAAAUCCUAUGGCUUAACCAUAGAACUGCAUUUGAAACUACUAUUCUAGAGUGUGGGAGAGGUAGGUGGAAUUCUUGGUGUAGGGGUAAAAUCCGUAGAGAUCAAGAGGAAUACUCAUUGCGAAGGCGACCUGCUGGAACAUUACUGACGCUGAUUGUGCGAAAGCGUGGGGAGCAAACAGGAUUAGAUACCCUGGUAGUCCACGCCCUAAACGAUGGAUGCUAGUUGUUGGAGGGCUUAGUCUCUCCAGUAAUGCAGCUAACGCAUUAAGCAUCCCGCCUGGGGAGUACGGUCGCAAGAUUAAAACUCAAAGGAAUAGACGGGGACCCGCACAAGCGGUGGAGCAUGUGGUUUAAUUCGAAGAUACACGAAGAACCUUACCUAGGCUUGACAUUGAGAGAAUCCGCUAGAAAUAGUGGAGUGUCUAGCUUGCUAGACCUUGAAAACAGGUGCUGCACGGCUGUCGUCAGCUCGUGUCGUGAGAUGUUGGGUUAAGUCCCGCAACGAGCGCAACCCCCUUUCUUAGUUGCUAACAGGUUAUGCUGAGAACUCUAAGGAUACUGCCUCCGUAAGGAGGAGGAAGGUGGGGACGACGUCAAGUCAUCAUGGCCCUUACGCCUAGGGCUACACACGUGCUACAAUGGGGUGCACAAAGAGAAGCAAUACUGCGAAGUGGAGCCAAUCUUCAAAACACCUCUCAGUUCGGAUUGUAGGCUGCAACUCGCCUGCAUGAAGCUGGAAUCGCUAGUAAUCGCAAAUCAGCCAUGUUGCGGUGAAUACGUUCCCGGGUCUUGUACUCACCGCCCGUCACACCAUGGGAGUUGUGUUUGCCUUAAGUCAGGAUGCUAAACUAGCUACUGCCCACGGCACACACAGCGACUGGGGUGAAGUCGUAACAAGGUAACCGUAGGUGAACCUGCGGUUGGAUCACCUCCUUUCUAGA